rnacentral:ncRNA from 1 species
GGCUCGGGAGCGGUCCUACGGGACGGACCGCAUGAAUAGAGCCUUCCCCUCCUUCGCCAGCGGCGAAUGACUGCGACCCGACGGUCAUUUG